UAUAUCUUUCCGUCGUUUCUCUGCAAUUUGUUCUCUAUCCUUGCAGUUCGCUGAUCAAGUGUUCAAUGUUUGCACACUGACACAAAAAGCAAUCUGAAAAGACUUAACUCGUGCCGCAGGAAAUCCACAAAAAUGGCAGCAAUAUCCUACAAAAUUACUAUAAACUCUAAUCUCAAUACCAAUGGCCUACUAUCACCUCCUCCAAACAAGCUACACUCACAUCUUUUACCCUCAAAUCAAAAAUUUUGUGGCCACAGGAUCCUUGCAAGUCCACCUCUAUCAUUGAUUCGAAGUAAUAAAAGUUGGCAUGGAUUACUUCGAGUUUCGAAUUUGAGUCAGUCUUCCGUGUCUAACUCCUUUGAUGUUGUCAUAGUUGGUGCCGGAAUCAUUGGAUUGACCAUCGCACGCCACUUGCUCCUUGCCUCAGAUCUCUCCGUCGCCCUAGUUGAUGCUGCUGUUCCUUGCUCUGGCGCAACAGGAGCAGGUCAAGGAUACAUAUGGAAGGCACACAAAUCACCCGGUACUGAGAAAUGGGAGUUAAUGAUGCGAAGCCAUCAAUUAUGGGAGAGUCUAGCCAAGAGCAUUCAACUUCAAGGGAUGGAUCCUUUAGAGGUACUUGGCUGGAAGAAGACAGGAAGCCUUUUAGUAAGUAAAACAACAGAUGAGUCAGCAAUAUUAAAAAGGAGGGUGGAGGAGCUAUCACAGGAGGGAUUGAGAGCUGAGUUCUUGUCUUCCAAUGACUUGCUAUCAGAAGAACCGGAACUGGUGCUUGAGAAGGAAGGUGGGGCGGCUUUUUUCCCCGAUGAUUACCAAUUAGACGCUCAUCGUACUGUUGCAUUUAUUGAGAAGGGUAACAGGCAUUUUGCUGUGGAAGGGAGAUAUGCCGAAUUUUAUCAUGAACCUGCCAUUGGAUUAGUUAGACAUGGAAAUAGCUGCGAGGUUGGAGCUAUUCAAACUUCCAAGAAUACAUUGCACAGUAAGAAGGCUGUUGUGAUUGCAGCAGGUUGUUGGACUGGGUCUUUGAUGCACGACCUGAUUAAGCAACCAGAUAUUGAACUCGACCUUCCUAUAAAGCCUCGAAAGGGUCACCUGCUUGUGAUAGAGAAUUUCAAGUCGUUCAAGCUGAAUCAUGGAAUUAUGGAGGCAGGGUAUACCAAGCAUCAGUCGGCAACCCUUAAAGCUACUGCAUCUGAUUCAGGGCCUGUCUAUAAUGCACAAGAUUUGUCUGUUUCAAUGACGGCAACCAUGGAUGCGUCAGGCAAUCUCGUCCUUGGGAGUAGCCGACAACUUGUUGGGUUUAACACAGAGGUAGAUGAAUCUGUCAUCAACCACAUAUGGAAGCGGGUUGGAGAGUUCAUACCUGCUUUAAGACAUGAGUCUCUUGAAGAUUUGCGUCAAAGCAGAGAAGUUAGAGUAGGACUGAGACCUUACAUUCCUGAUGGAAAGCCUGCCAUUGGGCUUGUUCCUGGAUUUUCAAACGUCUUUCUUGCUGCGGGGCAUGAAGGAGAAGGACUGUCGCUGGCUCUAGGAACAGCUGAAAUGAUUGCUGAUAUGGUGUUGGGAAAUCCUUCUAUAGUAGAUACAGCACCUUUUGCUCUGCUAGGCCGGUGCUUCCACUAAAUAGUGAGCCCAAUGCCAUGAUUGAACAUUAAUAAAGCCGAAAUUUGAAUGCCCUCCACCCUGAAGAUGACAAAAGCUCCUGGAAAUCCAAAAUCUCGGUCAGCCUCAAAUGUCAAUUCAUACUUAAUACAAGUGUUGCCAUUAGGCUUGUUGUGGAUAUGUUUCCCAUGAUUCAGGUGCACUUCUUGACUCAGCUUUCCUUUCCCCGUACCUAUCCAAAUGGAAAAAGGAACAGAAGCAAGUCUAUUACAGUUGAGCCUUGACACUUCCUUGAAACUUAUUCAAACAAUCAAUCAUCCUUGAACGUUGUCUCGUAUGUACCAUGGCUGGUGUCCAAAUAGUAUCUAAAAUUUUCUGAUCAUCCACUUUAUAAAUGUGAUAUAGAGAAAGGUAAUGUGAGGAGAUGAAUUUACAAGAUGAGAAAGAUAGUCAUAGCUUGAGUUUUUAGCAUUGCAUCAGAUUCAUUGCCUUGCUUUGAGGUUUUCUUGCUAGUGCUCCACCAGAUUCUUAUGUGCUAAAGCACUAAAAUUUAUUUUACUAGAGGUAUGCCUUUGAGUCCUACCAAGUUCCCAUUUCUAUGGGUUCAACAUAUAAUAACAUAUAUACAUUUCAAUUUUUUUU